UGGGGUGUAGCUCAAUGGUAGAGUGUGUGCUUAGCAUGCACAAGAUCCUGGGUUCAAUUCCCAGUACUUCCA
rnacentral:tRNA from 1 species